CAACAAUAUGUUUAUAAGGCUUCGGGGUACCAAAUAGUGCUCAACCUGAGACUGCUCAAUCUGAGAACGUCUCAAGCUGUCAUUCAGCUCAUGUGAAAGUUCUAUUUGCCUUUCUACUGAAACUUAAAAAAAGGCAAACAAGCAAAGAAAACAAAAACAGCAAAAACAACCAAACAAAAGCCAAUUUCUUGUUUAUUUCUCAAAAAGUAUAGUUCGAGUGACAAUUUUCAGCAAAAGUAAAAGUCAGGAAUAAGUCUUCCUCUUUGAAGGCUGUUCUGGGAAAAUCCAGCUUGAAGAGCCUGGCAGAUCAUGCUGGGAGUAAUGGGGCAGGUGGUCAAUGAGGACUUUGUAGGAGUUAUGGGCAAGGAUGGCAGCAAGAGUGUUGGAUCCUUGCAGCCUGGGUGAGAGGGCAGGAGCUUAUGUAGCAGUUAGGACAGCAGGGGACAUAUAUCAAAGGUGUCACCACAUUCCUCGUACUCACAGUACUGGGUCUGAACAAAAAGCUCCAUAGCCAUUUUAAUGGUUGUGUCAUCUACAGUGCGCUGGAAAGUGGCAGGGAGGGCAGGCGAGUUUUACUUAAGCAGGAGAAAUCAUGGUAGUUACAACUUAAGAUGGCUACAGCCAGGUAAGGGUGGGUCCCUCUCAAGGUCAACCCCAUUCCUAAGAACCCCUUUGCUUUCAGAGAAACAAGCCCAGCCUUCCUCGGCCAGUGAUGAUGAAGGAUCUGAAGAAGAUAAGGCCAGAAGACUACUUAAAGCCAAGAAACUUGUGAGUGACAUGGGAGAUGAGCCCUCCAGAAAGAGGCCAAGGGAUGAAGAGGAAGAGUGA
rnacentral:lncRNA from 1 species